GAUGAACGCUGGCGGCGUGCCUAAUACAUGCAAGUCGAGCGAACGGACGAGAAGCUUGCUUCUCUGAUGUUAGCGGCGGACGGGUGAGCAACACGUGGAUAACCUACCUAUAAGACUGGGAUAACUUCGGGAAACCGGAGCUAAUACCGGAUGAUAUUUUGAACCGCAUGGUUCAAAAGUGAAAGACGGUCUUGCUGUCACUUAUAGAUGGAUCCGCGCUGCAUUAGCUAGUUGGUAAGGUAACGGCUUACCAAGGCAACGAUGCAUAGCCGACCUGAGAGGGUGAUCGGCCACACUGGAACUGAGACACGGUCCAGACUCCUACGGGAGGCAGCAGUAGGGAAUCUUCCGCAUUGGGCGAAAGCCUGACGGAGCAACGCCGCGUGAGUGAUGAAGGUCUUCGGAUCGUAAAACUCUGUUAUUAGGGAAGAACAUAUGUGUAAGUAACUGUGCACAUCUUGACGGUACCUAAUCAGAAAGCCACGGCUAACUACGUG
rnacentral:rRNA from 1 species